rnacentral:rRNA from 1 species
UACGUAGGUGGCAAGCGUUGUCCGGAAUUAUUGGGCGUAAAGAGCGUGUAGGCGGUUCGGUAAGUCUGCCGUGAAAUCCUGGGGCUCAACCCCGGGCGUGCGGUGGAUACUGCCGGGCUAGAGGGUGGUAGAGGAGACUGGAAUUCAUGGUGUAGCAGUGAAAUGCGUAGAGAUCAUGAGGAAGACCAGUGGCGAAGGCGGGUCUCUGGACAGUUCCUGACACUGAGGCACGAAGGCCAGGGGAGCAAACGGG